rnacentral:tRNA from 7 species
GCUUGUCUAGCUUAGUUGGUAGAGUGCAAGACUCUUAACCUUAAGGUUAUUAUGGGUUCAAACCCCACUAGCGUUUA